rnacentral:rRNA from 1 species
AAUAUUUGACAAUGGGGGCACCCUGAUCCAGCCAUGCCGCGGGUGUGAAGAAGGUCUUCGGAUUGUAAAGCACUUUAAUUUGGGGGGAAGAGUUGUAGGCGAAUACCUUACUGUUUUGACGUUACCGACAGAAUAAGCACCGGCUCACUUCUUCACAGGUGGCGCGGUUAUACGAAGGGUGCAAGCGUUAAUCGGAAUUACUGGGCGUAAAGCGCGCGUAGGUGGUUUGUUAAGUUGGAAGUGAAAGCCCCGGGCUCAACCUGGGAACUGCUUUCAAAACUGGCAAGCUAGAGUAUGGCAGAGGGUGGUGGAAUUUCCUGUGUAGCGGUGAAAUGCGUAGAUAUAGGAAGGAACACCAGUGGCGAAGGCGACCACCUGGGCUAAUACUGACACUGAGGUGCGAAAGCGUGGGGAGCAAACAGG